GAACACCCACAAAAAACAUAGUUAAAGAAUUGCUGUGUUUUUACUUACUUUGCAUGAUCAACUCUCAUUUUUUAACUACUUCUGGCUUUAAUUAAUGUACAUUGGUAUGAUAUACUGACAAAAAAUAAACAUCAAAUCAAGUUUCCCUCCCAGCUUUUUACAAACACAUUGUGAGGAUCAGUGGGACCCACGGCCAACCACAGGCACAACUGUAGUAGUGCUUGAGACCAAAAAAACCUGUAUUAGAGCACAGAUUCAAGAGCCAAACCCAAAUUUCAGUGGAAUAUCAAGAUGCUAACUGUAGCUGCAGAAGCUUCAGUGGAGUUGUGGGUAUGUGCAUGGAUGCACCAGCUCAUUACAAGUGGCUCACUGCUGAGUUUCAUCAACGGAGCAAGAUCUGGGCCCAUCCCCACGUGGCUCUCCAGAAUAUGCAGUUUACCUAAGCACUCUCUUCGAACAGGCAUUCUUCAGAAACAUAAAGUAACAGGAGGCAGGGCUUUCCCAAACUUUAGCUACAUUCUGUUAGAGGAGAGGGUAGGCUGGGGGCUGUGUGACAAAUAGGCUCAACGGCUGCACUGACAUAUGUCUUGCUUAGGUGUCUAGACCAUGCUAGGCCUCAGUGUUACAAUUCCAUGACCUG
ensembl:lncRNA